UUAAAGCACUAAAAGGAUGCCUAAACAUUAAAAAAUAACGGACGUAAACAUAACGAAAUGUUACAGUGAGUAAAUUUUUUGCUGGGACCUGUAACUUUCCGAAUUGGAAAACCAAACUAAAAUAAUUAGUUUUGAAAAUUUAGUAAACUGAAUCAUCUAAGUAACUAAAUAAAAAAAUCAACCGAGAAACCGUCAAUAGCGGCGAGCGAAAGCGGUAUAGACUAAAAUUUUUUGUUAAGUUUAUUAAUAAUUUAUAUAGCCAUAGAAGGUAAUAAAGCCCUGUAGAUUAACUAACAGAUUUUUUAAAAGCAGUAGAUCGGCAAAAGUUAUGCUGUUUAAAUACCGGGGUCCCACCCUCGAAGUCUAUAAUUUUUAAUGUUUGAUAGCGCAAAAGUACCGUGAGGGAACGGUGAAAUAAAAUUUGCGAAUUAUGAAAAUCUGAAAUUUAGUGCUAACAAACAGUUGAAGCUUUUAAAAGUGACAGCGUACCUUUUGUAUAAUGGACCAACUAGUUUAUUUUAGUGGCGAGCUUAAACAUAAAUGUGUAGGCUAAAAGAAAUUAAGUUUUAAAUUGCUUUUGAGUCUCUAAAAUAAAACCCGAAACUAGGUGAUCUAACCAUGAACAGGUUGAAAUUUAUACGGUAACGAUAAAUGAAGGACCGAACCCGUGUAUGUGGAAAAAUACUGGGAUGAUUUGUGGUUAGGAGUGAAAGGCUAAUCAAACUUAGAGAUAGCUGGUUUUCUGCGAAAUCUAUUUAAGUAGAGCGUUUAAAAACUUAGUUUUGAGGUAGAGCUCUUGAUAAAUAAGGGGGAGUAAAAUCUUACUAAAUUUAAUAAAACUUCGAAUACAAAACAAAAAGAUUUUAAGCAGACAAACUGUGAGUGCUAAGAUUCACAGUUGAGAGGGAAACAGCCCAGACUAAUUGUUAAGGCCCUUAAAAGUAAUUAAGUGUAAAAAAUGUAAAAAGAUAAAAACAACCAAGAGGUAGGCUUGGAAGCAGCCAUCCUUUAAAGAAAGCGUAAUAGCUCACUGGUCUAAUUAAGCCGUCCUGCGCCGAAGAUGUACCGGGGCUCAAGCUACACACCGAAGCUGCGGAUGCACUAUGUGCAUGGUAGCGGAGCGUUCCGUAGGCCUGUGAAGGGAUACCCGUGAGGGGUCCUGGAGGUAUCGGAAGUGAGAAUGCUGACAUGAGUAGCGACAAAGAGUGUGAGAGACACUCUCGCCGAAAGUCCAAGGGUUCCUGCGCAAUGCUAAUCAGCGCAGGGUUAGCCGGCCCCUAAGGCGAGGCCGAAAGGCGUAGUCGAUGGGAACCAGGUGAAUAUUCCUGGGCCAGCGGGUAGUGACGGAUUGCGGAAGUUGUUCACCCUUAUUGGAUUGGGUGGGCAGCCAAGCCGUCCCUGGAAAUAGCUCCCGCAUUAGACCGUACCCUAAACCGACACAGGUGGACAGGUAGAGUAUACCAAGGCGCUUGAGAGAACUAUGCUGAAGGAACUCGGCAAAUUACUCCCGUAAGUUCGCGAGAAGGGAGCCUGGCUUUGCGCAAGCAAUGUCCAGGGGCACAGACCAGGGGGUGGCGACUGUUUACUAAAAACACAGGGCUCUGCGAAGUCGCAAGACGACGUAUAGGGUCUGACGCCUGCCCGGUGCCGGAAGGUUAAAAGGAGGAGUGCAAGCUCCGAAUUGAAGCCCCGGUAAACGGCGGCCGUAACAAUAACGGUCCUAAGGUAGCGAAAUUCCUUGUCGGGUAAGUUCCGACCUGCACGAAUGGCGUAACGACUUCCCCGCUGUCUCCAGCAUAGGCUCAGCGAAAUUGAAUUCUCCGUGAAGAUGCGGAGUAUCUGCGGCUAGACGGAAAGACCCCGUGAACCUUUACUAUAGCUUGACAGUGAACUUGAAGCCUGGAUGUGUAGGAUAGGUGGGAGACUUUGAAGCGUGAACGCCAGUUUGCGUGGAGUCAUCCUUGAAAUACCACCCUUGCAUGUUUUGAGUUCUAACGCAGGUCCAUGAUCUGGAUCGCGGACACUGUCUGGUGGGUAGUUUGACUGGGGCGGUCGCCUCCUAAAUGGUAACGGAGGCGCACAAAGGUUUCCUCUGAACGGGUAGAAAUCGUAUCUAGAGUGUAAAGGCAAAAGGGAGCUUGACUGUGAGACCUACAAGUCGAGCAGGGACGAAAGUCGGUCUUAGUGAUCUGGCGGUGCUGAGUGGAAAGGCCGUCACUCAACGGAUAAAAGUUACUCUAGGGAUAACAGGCUGAUCUCCCCCAAGAGUUCACAUCGACGGGGAGGUUUGGCACCUCGAUGUCGGCUCAUCGCAUCCUGGGGCGGUAGUACGUCCCAAGGGUUGGGCUGUUCGCCCAUUAAAG
rnacentral:rRNA from 1 species